rnacentral:lncRNA from 1 species
AGGGACCCUCCUGCAGGACACGGGGCCGGGGGGGCUCCCGCGCCCCGGACGGGCUCCAAGCUCCGGCUUUGGGCUCCCGAGUUUUGGGGCUCCCGAGUUUUGGGGCUCCGGCUCUCGGGGUUUCAGCCUUCCCAGGUUUCAGAGUUCCCAGGUUUCAGCGUUCCUGGGUUUCAGAAUUCCCAGGUUUCAGAAUUCCCAGGUUUCCAGGCUCUGGCUCUCUGGGUUUUGGAGUUCCCGGGUUUCAGAGUUCCCGGGUUUCAGGGUUCCCAGGUUUCUGGGUUCUGGUUUUCUGGGAUUCCAGGCUCUGGCUCUCUGGGUUUCUCAGUUCCCAGGUUUCAGGGUUCCUAGGAUUCAGAAUUCCCAGGUUUCAGAAUUCCCAGGUUUCCAGGCUCUGGCUCUCUGGGUUUUGGAGUUCCCGGGUUUCAGAGUUCCCAGGAUUCCGAGCUCUGGCUCUCUGGAUUUUGGGGCUCCCAGGUUUUGGGGCUCUGGCUCUCUGGGAUUCAGAGUUCCCAGGUUUCAGGGUUCCCAAGUUUCACGCUUCCCAGGUUUCUGGGUUCCCAAGUUUCACGCUUCCCAGGUUUCUGGGUUCUGGCUCUCCAGGUUUCAGGGUCCCCAAGUUUCAGGGUUCCCAGGUUUCAGGGCUCUGGAUCUCCAGGAUUCCAGGCUCUGGCUCUCUGCAUUUCAGCGUUCCCAGGUUUCAGAGUUCCCAGGUUUCAGGAUUCCCAGGUUUCAGAAUUCCCAGGUUUCAGGGUUCCCAGGUUUCAGAAUUCCCAGGUUUCAGAAUUCCCAGGUUUCAGAAUUCCCAGGUUUCAGGGUUCCCAGGUUUCAGAAUUCCCAGGUUUCAGAAUUCCCAGGUUUCAGGAUUCCCAGGUUUCAGAAUUCCCAGGUUUCAGGGUUCCCAGGUUUUGGGGCUCCAGCUCUCUGGAAUUCCAUGCUCCGGCUCUCAAGGUUUCAGUGUUCCCAGGUUUCAGCGUUCCCAGGUUUCAGGGCUCUGGAUCUCCAGGAUUCCAGGCUCUGGUUCUCCAGGUUUCAGAGUUCCCAGAUUUCAGUGUUCCCAGGUUUCAGAAUUCCCAGGUUUCAGAAUUCCCAGGUUUCAGAAUUCCCAGGUUUCUGGGUUCCCAGGUUUCGGGGCUCCGACCUCCGGGGUCCUGGCUCCAGCUCUCUGGAAUUCCGUGUUCCAGCUCUCGGGGUCUCUGGGCUCCCAGCUUUCCAGGCUCCCUGGGUUUGGGGGCUCCUGGGUUUUGGGGUUCUCCAGGAUUCCGAGUUCAGGGCUCCGGCUCUCCAGGUUUUGGGGUUCCAAGCCCUGGCUCCCUGGAUUUCGGGGCUCCUGGGGUUUGGGGCCCUGGUUCUCUGGAAUUCUGGGUUCCGGAGUUUCCGGGCUCUGGCUCUCUGGAUUUUGGGGCUCCCAGGUUUCAGGGCUGCGGUUCUCUGGAAUUCUGGCUCCGGCUCUGGAAUUCCGUGCUCUGGCUCCCGGGUUUUGGGGUGUCAGGCUCUGGCUCUCUGGGUUUUGGGGUUCCCAGGUUUCGGGGUUCCCAGGUUUCAGGGCAGCAGCUCCCUGGAAUUCCGUGCUCUGGCUCCCGGGUUUUGGGGUGUCAGGCUCUGGCUCUCUGGGUUUCAGGGUUCCCAGGUUUCAGGGUUCCCAGGUUUCAGGGCAGCAGUUCCCUGGAAUUCCGUGCUCUGGCUCUCCGGGUUUUGGGGUUCCCAGGUUUCAGGUCUCCAGCUCUCUGGGGUUCCGGCUUUCUGGAAUUCUGUGCUCCAGCUCUCUGGAUUUUGGGGCUCCUGGGUUUUGGGGCCCCAGGUUUCCGGGUUUCAGGGCUCUGGAUCUCCAGGUUUCGGAGCUCUGGCUUUCCAGGGUUCUGGGCUCCCAAGUUUGGCUUUAUGGGAUUCCAGGCUCUGGCUCUCUGGCUUUUGGGGUUCCCAGGUUUUAGGGCUCCGGCUCUCCAAGUUUUGGGGUUCUGGCCCCAGUUGUCAGGGUUUUGGGGUUCCCGGGCUCUGGUUCUUUGGGUUUUAGGGCUCCCAGGUUUUGGUGUUCUGGCUUUAUGGGAUUCCAGGCUCUGGCUCUCUGGGUUUUGGGGUUCUGGCCCCAGCUCUCUGGGUGUUGGGGUUCAGGGCUCCAGCUCUCUGGCUUUUGGGGUUCUGGCCCCAGCUCUCUGGGUGUUGGGGUUCCCGGGUUUCAGGCUCUGCCUCUCUGGGUUUUGGGGUUCCCAGGUUUUAUUGUUCUGGCUUUAUGGGAUUCCAGGCUCCGGCUGGAAUCUGGGUUUUGGGGUUCCCAGGUUUCAGGGCUCCAGCACUCCGGGUUUUGGGGUUCAGGGCUCCCGCUCUUCAGGUUUUGGGGUUCCGAGCUCCAGCUCUCUGGGUUCUGGGGCUCCCCGGUUUUGGGGUUCCAGCUUUUGGGGUUUUGGGGUUCAGGGUUCCAGCUCUCCGAGUUUUGGGGCUUCAGGCUCUGGCUCUCUGGGUUUUCGGGUUCCCAGGUUUUGGGGCUCCGACUCUCCAGAUUUUGGGGUUCUGGAUUUGGGGCUCCCAGGUUCCAGGGCUCCGACUCUCUGGUUCUCUGGGUUUUGGGGUUCGGGGCUCCAGCUCUCCAGGUUUUAGGGCUCUGGCUCUCUGGGUUUUGGGGUUCGGGGCUCCAGCCCUGCUGAGCUCCCUCCAGGUUUUUGGGGCUCCCCGGGUUGAACCUGGGGGGACAGAAAAGCUC